rnacentral:lncRNA from 1 species
AUGGCGCCGCGGAUGGCAGCCUCGGUACUGCGCUCUCUCGCACUUUUCCUGUUUUUGUUUAUUUUCUGCGCUUUUGGUCACUCAGACCACAUCACUUUCUCCAGAGAUGAACUGCUAAACAUCAGGCAGUCGUCUCACUAUAGUUCUUAUCCAUUUUUCACAAACCCGGAAAGUUUUUUGGAGAUUUUAGUUGGAGGCGCAGCAGCUCUCUGUGGCUCCUGGAGGAGACGUAGACGGGGGACCCGCGCUGGUGCACUGGUGAAACUACGUCGGCGAGGAUUCCGCACAGCACUCCCCUCCAUUCACCUCGCGAAUCUCCGCUCUUUUCCAAACAAAGUCGACGAAUUACUGCUCUUAAACCGGACUAACAAGGACUUUGCACGCUCUGCUGCCCUCUGCUUCACUGAAACCUGGCUUAGUGAGCGUGUCCCAGACGCUGUCUUAAAUCUGCCGGGCUUCCAACUUCACCGGGCGGACCGCGAAACGGAGCUCUCAGGGAAAACAAAGGGUGGUGGAGUCUGCUUCUACAUUAAUGAAGGUUGGUGUACUGAUGUCACAGUGUUACAGAAACACUGCAGCCCACACUUGGAAAGUCUUUUCAUCAAUUGUAAACCGUUUUAUUCACCGCGGGAGUUUUCUUCCUUCAUGCUGGUCGGAGUUUACAUCCCUCCUCAGGCCAACGCGAACAACGCACUGUGCGAGCUGGCUGACCAGAUCACCACCCUGGAGAGGAAAUUCCCGGACUCCUUUACAAUUAUCCUUGGGGAUUUUAACAGAGCAAACCUCAACCACGAACUCCCUAAAUACAGACAGCAUAUAGACUGCCCCACCAGGAACAACAUCAUACUGGAUCACUGUUACACCACUGUAAAAGAUGCCUAUCGCUCUGUGCCCCGGGCAGCUUUGGGACAUUCUGAUCACUGCAUGGUCCAUCUUAUUCCAGUUUAUAGGCAAAAACUCAAACGUGCCAAGCCUGUAGUCAAAACUGUGAAGAAGUGGACUAACGCAGCAAAGCAGGAACUGCAGGACUGUUUUGACUGCACUGAUUGGACUGUUUUUGAAGCUGCAUCUGAUAACCUGGAUGAGCUCACGGACACUGUGACAUCAUACAUCAGUUUUUGUGAAGACGUGUGUGUGCCAACAAAGACCUUCUGCACAUACAACAACAAUAAACCAUGGUUCACCCCUAAACUCCAACAUCUUCGUAAGGCUAAGGAGGACGCCUACAGAAGUGGUGACAGGGCCCUGUACAAGCAAGCUAGGAACACACUGACCAAGGAGAUCAAAGCAGCUAAAAGGAUCUACUCCCAGAAGCUGGAAGAACGGCUCUCAGCCAACGACCCUGCGUCAGUGUGGAGGGGCCUGCAGGAAAUCACCAGCUACAGACGCCCCCCACCCACUGUUGAAGCAAACAAAGACCUGGCCAACGAGCUAAAUACAUUCUACUGCAGGUUUGAGACGGACAGACUCCCACGCCUCACCCUCCCCUCCCCAGAGACACUGCUUCAGACACUGACCCCCAACACACCUUCCACCUCUCCCCCUUCACCCUCACCCUCUCCAAUCCAGUCUCAACGACCACCCCACCCUCCCCAAUCCAGACUCAACGACCACCACCACCCUUCCCAUUUCAGACUCAACGACCACCACCACCCUCUCCAAUCCAGACUCAACGACCUCCAUCACACCUCCCACCCCCCUUUCCUCCUCCCUGAAACUCAGAAUACACACUGA